rnacentral:rRNA from 1 species
CCUACGGGAGGCAGCAGUGGGGAAUAUUGCACAAUGGGGGAAACCCUGAUGCAGCGACGCCGCGUGAGUGAAGCAGUAAUUCGUUAUGUACAGCUCUAUCAGCAGGGAAGCAAAUGACGGUACCUGAGUAAGAAGCCCCGUCUAACUACGUGCCAGCAGCCGCGGGAAUACGUAGGGGGCAAGCGUUAUCCGGAUUUACUGGGUGUAAAGGGAGCGUAGACGGCAGUGCAAGUCUGGAGUGAAAGGCGGGGGCUCAAACCCCGGACUGCUCUGGAAACUGUACGGCGUGAGUGCAGGAGAGGUAAGUGGAAUUCCUAGGGUAGCGGUGAAAUGCGUAGAUAGUAGGAGGAACACCAGUGGCGAAGGCGGCUUACUGGACUGUAACUGACGUGGAGGCUCGAAAGCGUGGGUAGCAAACAGGAUUAGAUACCCGUGUAGUC